rnacentral:sRNA from 1 species
GGAACAGGGGAUCCUCUGGUCAGUCUAGGUCCCCUACCCAUCUCUAUGUGUGGUGUGAGGUGCUCUGCUCUACCCACACUGAGGGAGUGACCUUAGUUAAACAGAGACUAGGGAAAGAAUGCCAGGAAGUGGGACAACACCUACCUACUACCUGGACUGCAAAAAGAGGGUGCUCAUGCUAUCUUAAGUGAAAGGAAUCUCCAGGACAGAGGCAUGAAAAUGUGUCCGGAAUUGGUGGGUUCUUGGUCUCACUGACUUCAAGAAUGAAGCCGCAGACACUCGCAGUGAGUGUUACAGCUCUUAAGGUGGCGCAUCUGGAGUUUGUUCCUUCUGAUGUUUGGAUAUGUUCGGAGUUUCUUCCUUGUCGUGGGUUCGUGGUCUCGCUGGCUCAGGAGUGAAGCUGCGGACCUUCGCACCUCCAAAUGGAAUGAGGAAAGAAGUGACAGGCUCCAUGCGCUGGAACUCAGGAGACCCAAGUUCAAGUCCCAGCACUACCACUUACCAGGCGAGUGAUUCUGGGACAGUUACUGUGCAAUGAGAGCAAGCAACUUCAGAAUUUCUUUCG